rnacentral:tRNA from 1 species
UGAGGGGUCGUCUAACGGCAAGACAACAGGCUCUGGACCUGUCGAUUGAGGUUCGAAUCCUCGCCCCUCAG